rnacentral:misc_RNA from 1 species
AUAGUUUAUGGGACUAUACAAACGCUGUGAUGAAUUUUCUGUGUCGAUCCCACAUCUUGGACUGUAAUAGAACUUGCAAAUUUGAUUGGCUUAAGUACUUUGACUUUGUCAUCACUGGCAGGUCUUUUUUUCCCUUCAACCAUUUUACUUCAACUCAAAUAUACAUUAUUGGUUGUGUGUUUUGAAGACUUUCAUCUUUUAGAAAGUUUGAUUUAAUUUUGGGUUGUCCUUUUUUUUUUUCCCUUUUAAUUACUAGCUGCCCUGCCCAAACCAAAUGAAUUUUAUCAUGUUUCAAACUGUGAAAUUUUCAAUGUGGUAAUGUGAGGUGGCGUUUAAGUUAUAGAUUCACAUAACUCUUUGACUGCUAUACCUAUCUAUGCAGUGAAAAACUAGGCUUUUUCCAUGAGGAGAAUUGUGCUAAUCCUUUUGAGGUUGAACCUGAGUCGGGAAUGCUUCUCAAUACUGAUAAUGACAAUUCAAUACCUCAGGAUGUACAUCUUUGCUAGGCUUAUAUUGCUACUUAUAUGCUUUUGGUAAUUCAAUUUGUAUAUCUUAAAAAGGUGGGAAAUAGUUCACCAAAUAUAGUAUUGAAGGAAUCAAAU